GACGAACGCUGGCGGCAUGCCUAAUACAUGCAAGUCGAACGAUGAUAUCACUGCUUGCAGUGAUUGAUUAGUGGCGAACGGGUGAGUAACACGUGAGGAACUUGCCCAUGAGCGGGGGACAACAUUCGGAAACGGAUGCUAAUACCCCAUAGGUGGAUUGGUCGCAUGACGAAUUCAUUAAAGGUGGCUUUGCUACCACUCAUGGAUAGCCUCGCGGCGUAUUAGCUAGUUGGUAAGGUAGUGGCUUACCAAGGCAGUGAUACGUAGCCGACUUGAGAGGGUGAUCGGCCACACUGGAACUGAGACACGGUCCAGACUCCUACGGGAGGCAGCAGUGAGGAAUAUUGGUCAAUGGACGGAAGUCUGAACCAGCCAAGUAGCGUGCAGGAUGACGGCCCUCUGGGUUGUAAACUGCUUUUAGUUGGGAAUAAAAAAGAGGACGUGUCCUCUAUUGUAUGUACCUUCAGAAAAAGGACCGGCUAAUUCCGUGCCAGCAGCCGCGGUAAUACGGAAGGUCCAGGCGUUAUCCGGAUUUAUUGGGUUUAAAGGGAGCGUAGGCGGAUUAUUAAGUCAGUGGUGAAAGACGGUGGCUCAACCAUCGUUAGCCAUUGAAACUGGUAGUCUUGAGUGCAGACAGGGAUGCUGGAACUCGUGGUGUAGCGGUGAAAUGCUUAGAUAUCACGAUGAACUCCGAUCGCGAAGGCAGGUGUCCGGGCUGCAACUGACGCUGAGGCUCGAAAGUGUGGGUAUCAAACAGGAUUAGAUACCCUGGUAGUCCACACAGUAAACGAUGUAUACUCGCGGUUUGCGAUAUAAUGUAAGCCGCCAAGCGAAAGCAUUAAGUAUACCACCUGGGGAGUACGCCGGCAACGGUGAAACUCAAAGGAAUUGACGGGGGCCCGCACAAGCGGAGGAACAUGUGGUUUAAUUCGAUGAUACGCGAGGAACCUUACCCGGGCUUGAACUAAGAGUGACAGAUUUAGAGAUAGAUCAUUCUUCGGACACUCUUGGAGGUGCUGCAUGGUUGUCGUCAGCUCGUGCCGUGAGGUGUCGGCUUAAGUGCCAUAACGAGCGCAACCCUUUCCCUUGGUUGCCAUCAGGUAAUGCUGGGCACUCCAGGGAUACUGCCAUCGUAAGAUGUGAGGAAGGUGGGGAUGACGUCAAAUCAGCACGGCCCUUACGUCCGGGGCUACACACGUGUUACAAUGGGGGGUACAGAAGGUCGCUACCUGGUGACAGGAUGCUAAUCUCAAAAACCUCUCUCAGUUCGGAUUGGAGUCUGCAACCCGACUCCAUGAAGCUGGAUUCGCUAGUAAUCGCGCAUCAGCCAUGGCGCGGUGAAUACGUUCCCGGGCCU
rnacentral:rRNA from 1 species